GAUGAACGCUAGCGGCAGGCUUAACACAUGCAAGUCGAGGGGCAGCGCGGGAUAGCAAUAUCCUGGCGGCGACCGGCGGACGGGUGCGUAACGCGUGAGCGACAUGCCCGUUGCCCGGGGACAACCGGUGGAAACGCCGACUAAUCCCCGAUGGGAUACGAUGCUUCAUGGCAUUGUAUUGAAAGUUACGGCGGCGACGGAUUGGCUCGCGUCCGAUUAGCUGGUUGGCGGGGUAACGGCCCACCAAGGCUGCGAUCGGUAGGGGUUCUGAGAGGAAGGCCCCCCACAAUGGGACUGAGACACGGCCCAUACUCCUACGGGAGGCAGCAGUGAGGAAUAUUGGUCAAUGGGCGGAAGCCUGAACCAGCCAUGCCGCGUGCGGGAAGGAGGCCCUAUGGGCUGUGAACCGCUUUUGCCUGGGGGCAAUAAGGGCGUCGCGCACGUCCGAUGAGAGUACCAGGCGAAUAAGCAUCGGCUAACUCCGUG
rnacentral:rRNA from 1 species